rnacentral:rRNA from 1 species
GGAAUAUUGCACAAUGGGCGAAAGCCUGAUGCAGCGACGCCGCGUGAGUGAAGAAGUAUUUCGGUAUGGAAAGCUCUAUCAGCAGGGAAGAAAAUGACGGUACCUGGCUUCGAAGCCCCGGCUAACUACGUGCCAGCAGCCGCGGUAAUACGUAGGGGGCAAGCGUUAUCCGGAUUUACUGGGUGUAAAGGGAGCGUAGACGGCGAGGCAAGUCUGAAGUGAAAACCCAGGGCUCAACCCUGGGACUGCUUUGGAAACUGUUUUGCUAGAGUGUCGGAGAGGUAAGUGGAAUUCCUAGUGUAGCGGUGAGAUGCGUAGAUAUUAGGAGGAACACCAGUGGCGAAGGCGGCUUACUGGACGAUAACUGACGUUGAGGCUCGAAAGCGUGGGGAGCAAACA